GCCGCGGGGAGAGCGGGCGGAGCGUUAUGAACCGCGGGAAGCAGAAGCGCCUUCGGGAAGAAGACCUCAGAGUGGAUACCAGUUUGCUUCUUUGAAGCUCUGAGUGCGUCCUGCUCCCACUCAUGUCACGGGAAGUGGAUGGUUGGUUCAGUUCUUGGCUGUCUAACUGUUGGAUGGCUCAGCACAAACAUGCAACUAUCAAUGAAUACUUAGCACUUGUAACUGCAGGGAAAUAACUCCUUGUAUUUGUUUAAGGAUCCCUGAGUGGACCAUCCACAGAUGUUUCUUCAGAACUAAGCAAUUACCUAUCAAACUGAUUUUCUCCACCUCUCCCAGUGAUUCCUAGUGGAAUCUGUUCUUGAAGGGAGAAGGAGGGAGGAAGAGGUGGCAAGCAUUUCACAAAGAUCCUGCCUGUUCUGCAGCUGUUCCUUUUAUACAAGCUGACUAAAAGCUGAGGUAUAAACACAGAGAAGGACAGAAUAGUAGUACUAUCUUAACCUGCUCAUUUGAUUUUCCAAGUUCCGUACAUCAACCCUUGCAGUGAGCUUACA